rnacentral:rRNA from 1 species
UACGAAGGUGGCAAGCGUUACUCGGAAUUACUAGGCGUAAAGGGCAGGUAGGUGGUUUGAUAAGUCUGUUGUGAAAGCUCCCGGCUUAACUGGGAGAGGUCAACAGAAACUAUCAGGCUUGAGUAUAGGAGAGGGUACUGGAAUUCCCGGUGUAGCGGUGAAAUGCGCAGAGAUCGGGAGGAACACCAAUGGCGAAAGCAGGUACCUGGACUAUUACUGACACUCAGCUGCGAAAGCUAGGGGAGCAAACAGG